rnacentral:tRNA from 1 species
GUCCGGGUGGAGCAGUGGUAGCUCGGCUGGCCCAUAACCAGCAGGUCGUCGGUUCAAGUCCGGCCCCGGCAACCA